rnacentral:rRNA from 1 species
GACGAACGCUGGCGGCGUGCUUAACACAUGCAAGUCGAACGGAAAGGCCCUGCUUUUGUGGGGUGCUCGAGUGGCGAACGGGUGAGUAACACGUGAGUAACCUGCCCUUGACUUUGGGAUAACUUCAGGAAACUGGGGCUAAUACCGGAUAGGAGCUCCUGCUGCAUGGUGGGGGUUGGAAAGUUUCGGCGGUUGGGGAUGGACUCGCGGCUUAUCAGCUUGUUGGUGGGGUAGUGGCUUACCAAGGCUUUGACGGGUAGCCGGCCUGAGAGGGUGACCGGCCACAUGGGGACUGAGAUACGGCCCAGACUCCUACGGGAGGCAGCAGGGGGGAAUAUUGCACAAUGGGCGGAAGCCUGAUGCAGCAACGCCGGGUGCGGGAUGACGACCUUCGGGUUGUAAACCGCUUUCGCCUGUGACGAAGCGGGAGUGACGGUAAUGGGUAAAGAAGCACCGGCUAACUACGUG